rnacentral:rRNA from 1 species
AAUCUGGGGCAAUGGGCGAAAGCCUGACGCAGCCAGGCCGCGUGAAUGAUGAAGGACUUAGAAAUGUAAAAUUCGUUCACCGGGGACGUUAAUGACGGUCCCCGGAGAAGCAGACCCGCCUACCUUCGUGCCAGCAGCCGCGGUAAUACGAAGGGGGCUAGCGUUGCUCGGAAUUACUGGGCGUAACGGGCGCGUAGGCGGAUCGUUAAGUCAGGGGUGAAAUCCCGGGGCUCAACCUCGGAACUGCCCUUGAUACUGGCGAUCUUGAGUAUGAGAGAGGUAUGUGGAACUCCGAGUGUAGAGGUGAAAUUCGUAGAUAUUCGGAAGAACACCAGUGGCGAAGGCGACAUACUGGCUCAUUACUGACGCUGAGGCGCGAAAGCGUGGGGAGCAAACA